AAAAGCUUUCCGAACUAUUGGAAAUCCAAAAUUCUAUUUUUCUAUUUCUAGAGCUUUCUCUUGCUCAGCAAUGGCGUUCAAGAAAACCCUAGCUAUGCGCCUCUUCAGAAUCUCGAAAAUAUCAAAUCAGUCCCUGGAGAACUGUCGCAUUUCCUCUCCGCCCGUCCAGACCCGAAUCCCUCAAAACCCGGGCAAAACCAACAUUGCUCCUGAUCCAGGAGAUAAUGGCAUAUUCGGGCGGUUGUUCCACAAGAGAGCCAUUUUCCAGAUGCCUAUCUCGUCGGAUCUCCGGGGAUUCCAAAUCGGGGAGAACCUGGUGGAAAAACUCAGGUUGUUUGACAUCUUAAAGGAUAGAAUCAACUUGGACGGUCAGAUAUCUCCGGAAACCAAGUAUUUAGAUGGAUCUCGGCAGGCGAGGGAAUCGGAGAAGGAGGGUUUGACGGUGGAGGACGCGAAGAAGUUACUGAGGGCGGCGCAAUUAGAUAUGGUGAAAUCAAGGCUCAGAGAGGUGCAGAAUAGCUGGAUACCUUAUUCUGAUUUCCUUCGGAUCUGCGGAGAAGGCUGUUCGGAUCGUGAACAAGGAAUUCGGAUCGCGAAAACGCUUGAUGAAUCCGGAACUGUAAUCAUCUUGGGAAAUAUCGUGUUUCUCAAGCCAGAGCAGGAGAAUGAAACUUUGUUGUUACGCAAGAUCAGUUUGUACGGUGACAAGAUUUGUUUCACCUAUGGCGUAAGGCAUAUGGGAUAAAACCCAUAAAGCCUUGCCUUGCCAUAUGACCUCUUUGAGCAUUUCACCCAAAUCUAAUAAAAAAGAAUGAGAAGAGUUAUAUAAAAAAGAGAAAGAAUGAGAAGAGUUG
rnacentral:misc_RNA from 1 species